GAUUUUAGCCACCGUCCUACCUUGGUCCAUGGUGUACGGAAUUUCCGCUCAUGCUUUUUAAACACUGGUGGCAUCCUUGAUGAUGUUGAUUUCAUCCAGACCAUGGCGGAGAAAGUCCAAGGCAAGGACUGUGUUUAUGUUUUCGCACGCUUGCUCUUUUGACGAUUGGUCCGAUAACGAAUGGAAUGCCUGUACUCCUCAAUGGAAUCUGUCGAACGCCAGUGAUGAUCGGGAAUGGGCGUCCCUCCUGUUGGUCGAUUCCUCCAAAACCUGGGAAAUGAUUCAAAGCAGUGGGCACAAUACUGAAUGAUGAUAUGGCUCCUGACACGAAAUCACCCGAGCACAAUCUGGCACCAGACGCACAACUGCGCUCCUGUGGACGAGAUUCGGGAGAAACCAAGGUGAAAUCGCCGCCGUCGAUUAGGUCGGAGUACCACGAAUCAUGCUAAAGGCAAGACAAUACAUUGUAUACACUUGUAAAUCUUCUUGUCAAACACCAGUUACACCUGUAAUAGUUAUGCUGAACUUUUUCAAUGUUGCUCAGCGUCUUUUAGAGUAAGCCCAGAGCAGCCCUUUUCCUAAUGAUGCUGCCUUACGCCAUGGAGGUAUUAUUACUUAAUAAUACCUCCGUGCUUACGCCAAUUUGAAAUUCCGCGUCAAAGACUCGAUGAAUUCUUCAUCUGAAGUGGGUCAUCAAUAAGCGCAGAGAGCUGCAUUAACGUGACAAGUGUAACGUUGUUUGUUCUCAUGCAUAACCUGAUAAUCAACAUUGUCACAUGAAAUUGUGGUAAUUUAAACACAAACGCUUGGCAAAAAAGAAAAAAAGCAAUGGUACUUUAAAGCACAAAACAUUUAGAAGGAUGGAUUUUUGCACACUAUUGUACUGAAUAACUGGCAGAUUUCAGAAGCGAGAGUGGAUGAAAUGUAAUCUUUGUUGAAGUUUUCAAUCAGUUUGGUGCCUUAGCUUCAAAUUGUGAUUAUCAGGUUCUGUAUGGGUCAUUGAUUUGUUGCUUUCGGACAAGUUCAAGAAUCGCGACAUCUCAAUUUUGAAUUUUUACUAAUUCUGGCUUUCGAUAAAAAAUUCUGAAUAUUUGAUGUUAUUUUUAUCAAACCAUAUUUGAAAAAAAAUUCAUUGAAAAGGUUUUAACAAAACGAAAAAUACAAACAUUGAACAGUUUCUGCAGGAAACCGGACAUUCUUUUUGGUUUACCUUCCUUCAGCUAAUUUGUUUAGACUUUCUUUAAAGGCUCUUCCCUAAUAAAAAUGCUUGAGACGUUAUGUUAAAAUUCCGAAUCAUAAAAAAAGUGUUCGGACAGGAUUCGAACCCAAGUCCUCCAGGUCAAAAGUCCGACGCUCUAACCACUAGACCACCAAAACACCCUCUGAUCUGGCUGGUUUAUUAGAGAGUCACUGAAAAUAAUAGGCACUUCUUUGUUGGCGAACGUUCACGUAGUCGUUGUUCAAUUGAUUAUACCUAUUACGGGCCACAGUGCAAUCCUGUGUGCAAGUACAAUAGAUGUGUUGUGUCCCGUAAUCUGUACAUUCAAUUGAAUGACGGUCGUCGUUCCUCGAACAAUGAUAGGCCAAGAGAAUGGAUUGCAUUGGGAUAAUGAUUUGUAAAAUUUGUUUUGAAAUUCAAAUCGACCAAGUUCACCCUUUAAUUUAGAAAUUCUGACUGGAUCGGGAAAAGGGGAAUAUUUCUGAUACACCUUAUACUGAUAUACAUUGUAUUAUGUGAAUGCCAUAUCUUCUGUAGUGAACAACUCUAGGCUUAAAUGGGACUAAAAGGCAGGACCAAUGGGGUCUUUUUUUACCUCUUUGUGACAAGCAUUCACAAUUACAUGGAGUGGGAUAGCUUAGUCUGGUUAUGUAUUCCAUAUUCCUCGUGCCAGACUGAUACUGCCCCCAAACGAGACUUGCUCCUGCCUAUAGCCUCCCCUUAAACUGCUGCUGUACGAAGCUGUUUCUUUAGAAUAUCAAUAUGAAUUCUCGCCGCCAUACGAUAUAUGUCCAUCAUGAAAAUUCAAUCACUUUCUAGAGUGUCCUUAAGAAACAAUUUCUUAGAGUUGGGCAGCAAUACAUUGUGCAACAUUGGAUUUAAAUGGAUUAAACUGAUUCAGACUAUGUAAGAAAUACUCUAAUCUCACUUCUAUAAGACCAUCUUAUCGAUCGUUAUUAUCAAUUUUUCAGUGCCGGCUACCCGGUGUUCGGUAUGGCUGAAUCAUGGGGGGAGGUGCUAGUGUAGACCUCCCCAGAAAAACUAAAGCUUAAAAAUGCCUUUCUACCAUUUUGAUUGGGAGAUUGUGUUGAAAUAUGUAAAUAAUGGUCUUAUACAUGUGAUUUUACAGCAUUACGCCUCAUAAUGCAUCUGUGAAACGCAGAAAUUUAUAACAAUGUAUGUAAUAUAUGAUUGCGUAG